rnacentral:tRNA from 1 species
AGCCCUGGGGUGUUACACGCAGGAUUGCAACCCCUGAAAAGCAGAGAGUGUUCUGCCGGGGCUU